rnacentral:lncRNA from 1 species
GAAUCCGACUAGGAACCAUGAGGUUGCGGGUUCGGUCCCUGCCCUUGCUCAGUGGGUUAACGAUCCGGCGUUGCCGUGAGCUGUGGUGUAGGUCGCAGACUCUGCUCGNUAUGCCAUGGACGCAGCCAAAAAAUAAAGGAAUAAAUAAAAUAAAAACAGACAUCCCUAAAAAAAAAAAAAAGCUCUGCGUAUGACCUGGGGAUUGAGGAUUUCUUACCACAGGAAGUCGAUACAAAGAGAGACUUAAGGUUAAACUGGUGUCAGUAAUCAACAUUGCAAAUAUACUGCUACCUCCUGACAAAGAACAGUAAAGAGUUUUAUUGGCAGCAAAUGGGGGGGGGGAGGAUGAUAAGCAACAACAAACCUUGAAAGAAAAAAAAAAAAAGCCUAGUUGUCAAAAACCUAAAAUUAAACUUUUACCUCAAUUCUGAUACUAUUUUAGCAGCAUGUGCAGGGCCUCCAGCUGCUACAUCCUGAAGUGUGAUCCUGUCGCUGUCACAGUUGAAGGAAGACUGUGUCCCAGCAGUGCCUUGACUAAGAGGCCUCUCUCAGAGAUACGAGGGUGGCAUCGGAUGGCGCUCCAGCUACCACAAGAAGCGCUGGCUGCUCCCUCUCCUCCUUCCCAGAACACUGACUUCUCCAGUUCUCCCAGUGGCAUACCAACUUCUACCCUUUCUCUAUCCCAUUUUCAGAUUUCCAGUUCUUACAAAAUUUCUUUGAGGCUCACCCAAGCUUAAAGCUGAUGAACCACAGAACAGGUUGGAACCAGAGCUGUGUCUUAAAAAUAGGAAUCAUUUCUAAAUUAAUUGACUUGAAGUCAAUACUUUCCCACCAUGAAGCCUAUUACAUAAAUGAAUAAAACUAUAGAGUAAUGAAUUAAAGCUAAUUUU